rnacentral:rRNA from 1 species
AGAGUUUGAUCCUGGCUCAGGAUGAACGCUAGCGGCAGGCUUAACACAUGCAAGUCGAGGGGCAGCGGGUGUAGCAAUACACUGCCGGCGACCGGCGCACGGUGCGUAACGCGUAUGCAACCUACCCACUAACAGGGGCGAUAACACUGAGAAAUUGGUACUAAUUCCCCAUAACAUUCGAAGAGGCAUCUCUUUGGGUUGAAAACUCCGGUGGUUAUGGAUGGGCAUGCGUUGUAUUAGCUAGUU